GACGAACGCUGGCGGCGUGCUUAACACAUGCAAGUCGAACGGAAAGGCCCUGCUUUUGUGGGGUGCUCGAGUGGCGAACGGGUGAGUAACACGUGAGUAACCUGCCCUUGACUUUGGGAUAACUUCAGGAAACUGGGGCUAAUACCGGAUAGGAGCUCCUGCUGCAUGGUGGGGGUUGGAAAGUUUCGGCGGUUGGGGAUGGACUCGCGGCUUAUCAGCUUGUUUGUGGGGUAGUGGCUUACCAAGGCUUUGACGGGUAGUCGGCCUGAGAGGGUGACCGGCCACAUUGGGACUGAGAUACGGCCCAGACUCCUACGGGAGGCAGCAGUGGGGAAUAUUGCACAAUGGGCGGAAGCCUGAUGCAGCAACGCCGCGUGCGGGAUGACGGCCUUCGGGUUGUAAACCGCUUUCGCCUGUGACGAAGCGUGAGUGACGGUAAUGGGUAAAGAAGCACCGGCUAACUACGUG
rnacentral:rRNA from 1 species